rnacentral:rRNA from 1 species
UACGAAGGGGGGCUAGCGUUGCUCGGAAUGACUGGGCGUAAAGGGCGCGUAGGCGGAUGGCUUUGUCGGGCGUGAAAUUCCAGGGCUCAACCUUGGGGCUGCGUUCGAGACGGGCGAUCUUGAGUUCGGAAGAGGGUCGUGGAAUUCCUGGUGUAGCGGUGGAAUGCGCAGAUAUCAGGAGGAACACCGAUGGCGAAGGCAGAUCUCUGGGCCGUAACUGACGCUGAGGAGCGAAAGCAUGGGGAGCGAACAGG